AACGUAGGAGACGAACGUUAUCCGGAGUUACUGGGCGUAAAGGGCGUGCAGGCGGUCUGAUAAGUUCGGCGUGAAAUAUUCCGGCUUAACCGGGAUAGGUCGUCGGAGACUGUCGGACUAGAGGGUGAUAGAGGCGUGUGGAAUUCCGGGUGUAGUGGUGAAAUGCGUAGAGAUCCGGAGGAACACCAGUGGCGAAGGCGACACGCUGGGUCACACCUGACGCUAAAGCGCGAAAGCAUGGGGAGCGAACGGG
rnacentral:rRNA from 1 species